rnacentral:tRNA from 2 species
CGCGGGAUGGAGCAGUCUGGUAGCUCGUCGGGCUCAUAACCCGAAGGUCGUAGGUUCAAAUCCUACUCCCGCAACGA